AGCCAGACUCCUACGGGAGGCAGCAGUGGGGAAUAUUGCACAAUGGGGGAAACCCUGAUGCAGCGACGCCGCGUGAGUGAAGAAGUAUUUCGGUAUGUAAAGCUCUAUCAGCAGGGAAGAAAAUGACGGUACCUGACUAAGAAGCCCCGGCUAACUACGUGCCAGCAGCCGCGGUAAUACGUAGGGGGCAAGCGUUAUCCGGAUUUACUGGGUGUAAAGGGAGCGUAGACGGCAUGGCAAGUCAGAUGUGAAAGCCCGGGGCUCAACCCCGGGACUGCAUUUGAAACUGUCAGGCUGGAGUGCAGGAGAGGUAAGUGGAAUUCCUAGUGUAGCGGUGAAAUGCGUAGAUAUUAGGAGGAACACCAGUGGCGAAGGCGGCUUACUGGACUGUAACUGACGUUGAGGCUCGAAAGCGUGGGGAGCAAACAGGAUUAGAUACCCUUGUACG
rnacentral:rRNA from 1 species